UUAAUAGACAAAAGAAAUGAAAAAAAAACGAGUGGAAAAUAUGAUAAAUUUACUGAAAAAAAGAGUGAAAAGAAAAAGGAAUAAAAGAACAUUUGAAGGGGACAAAAAAGAAAAGCAGAAAAAAAAAUUCAAAAGAAAGAAAGAAAGAAUUUGAACAAAAAAAAAAGGAAAGAUAAGAGAGAGAGAGAGUGAGUUCCAAUAUGAAGAAUGAUGUAAAUUUAUUUCAAAAGAAAUUGCGUGAAAGAAGCAAGCAAAAGGCUUAUUGGAGGUUACUGGAAUCGAUGGUAGUAUGUAAUUGAGAUGCUUCAACCAUGAUGUGUGAGAAUAGAAGUCAUUCAUUUUGAAGGGCAGAGGCAUCAGGCAAAUCAGGAUAUGCAAUCUGAGUUGCAGACUGCAGAGCCUCGUCACUGCUGUUGGUGGUUGGUGCUUCCGGAAAAUGUGGUCAUUAAGCAGAUGUGGUGAAGGGUAUAAUGGCGUCUUACCUCUUGAUUGCUAGUUGUUUUAUCCAAAGUAUUGGAAGUGCUUGACAAAUGUUUGUUUUCACGCUAACAAGUGAACUUACAAUGAGUUCUUAAAAUUUUAAUUAGCUAAUAUUGACUUGGUCAUCUUAUUGUUGACUUUAGACGCUUCUGGGGUUUGUCAUUUCUCAUUAGUCAUUACUAAAGGGUUUACCAUAUGCAUUAUUGUUUUACUUAAACUCAAGAAGAAGAGCAUUUUAAGAUCUGUGAAUAAUCCAACUAGGACAUAUUUAGAUUGACAUGGUAAUAAAUAUUUUUCUUCUUACAUUUAACUUUGAAAACCUGUGUUUUGAACAGAAUGAACAUCUAGUAUAAACUGUCUUUUUGCCCUUUUUUUUUCCAGAAAAGAAAUUUUCUAUAUCAGUUAAUUAGCUUAAUGCUGAAAUCACUUGAUGUCCUUUCAGCUUAAUUAGCUGGAAAUAUUUGCCAUGAUAAGAUCCACUAUAAAUGAUUCCAUGGUAUACAUCUAUCAAGUACCUUUUAGAUGUUUUAGCUUUUCCUCAUAUGAUUUAUAGAGAAAAUCUUCUAUAAAAAAAUCCCUUUUACUCUCAUUUAAUUUGGGAGUUUCAAAACUUCUUGCAUCAUUGGUUUUAUAUAUAUGUAUUUUUCUCUGUGUUUGCUUCUAUUUGUGUGAUCUUACAUAUAUUAUCAUGAACAAGUUUUGUUGAGCGUUGACUGUUAUAUGCUGUAAGCUCUUGGGAAUUUUGUUGUACUAGACGACGUAACAAUGAGUUCAUGUGAGCCAGUUUGCAGUGCUGAAGGUGGAAUAAGAGUGGAGGGGAAAAAAACUACUUGCAUGAAAGAACCUAAGACAAUGGCUUGUCCUGAAUGGUUGAGUAUUAAGGCUUUGUUUGAGUUGAGAAUGUGAUCUUCACUGUAAACUACAGAAUGCUUAGUUGCAGUUCUUUUCCUGUUAUGCGGAAGGAGAAGCUCAUCAACCAUCACUUUUAAGUGUGUAGUCAGUCGAUGCCUUGAUGGGAGAAAUGAAACUCUGAUGCGUUUUUUUCUUUCUUGAAAAGGUAAAAAUGAGACAAGAGAGGAAGAGAAAGUGGUGUAUUGUUACUGAUAGGAGGAAAAAGCUGAAUUAGAUAUGACCUUCUGGCAGUGGGAUGAUUUGGUGAUAUAGAAGAUUAGUACUGUGUCUGUGCUAUUUAGAAAAUGCUGGCAAUGGUUUAAUAAUGAAAGUAUGCGAUCUUUUGAUGGAUGGAUUCUGGGAAGCUGAUUUGGCAGAUUUGCAUUGCUAGUAUGCACCCUUACAUUUGGUGAUUGAAAUUCUUAUCAGGCUAGUGUGCAUUUCAAAAUUUGAAUUAUAAACUCAAAAAGAUCUUGCCGAAUAAAAUUAUUGGUGCAAAAAGAUUAAACAAGCUGGAUCAGAGGCAAUGCAAUAUCUGUCAUAUACUCAUAUUUGAGGAGCUGGUGAUAGAAAGAGGAAAAUGUAGAACAUUAUUGCUUUUGUCAAAAAAGUGACAGUGGUAAAAAUGGAACAUUUUUUUUUAUUCAAUGCAGUUAUCUGAUCUCAGCUAAAGCAUUAUUCUUUCUUUGCACUAUGUUUUACUUUCUUGGGGAUUUGAUGGAUUAUGCAUGUAGAUAAGAAACCUUUGUCCAACAAAUUACAGCUGAAGGAAUGUUUGUAAAAAAUGUAUUUCAAUGGGUUGUCUAUUACCAUAAAUCUAUUUUUAUGAUUUAGAUCUUUUGUGGAAAUACUUCUAAAUUUGUCUUUGAUGACUUGCUGAUUGAACUUUGGCAUGCAAAUCUUGUGAUGAAAUUAUCAUACAGGUUGAUUAUGCAUGCACGCCAGAAGAAGUCCAACAACACUUUCAGUCUUGUGGAACAGUUAACAGGGUUACUAUUUUGACAGACAAGUAUGGCCAGCCAAAGGGUUUUGCUUAUGUCGAAUUCCUUGAAGUAGAAGCUGUACAAGAGGCUUUGCUUCUGAAUGAAUCUGAACUACAUGGGCGUCAAUUGAAGGUUUUGCCCAAGAGGACCAAUGUUCCUGGGAUGAAGCAGUAUCGACCAAGGCGAUUCAAUCCUUACAUGGGUCACCGGUUUAGGAGGCCAUAUGUCCCUCCUUAUUUCUACUCCCCAUAUGGAUAUGGGAAGGUUCCUAGAUUCAGAAGACCAAUGCGAUACAUGCCCUAUUACUAGAAAGUUGUUAUAGGCAGUGAAGUUUAUCAUGUGGAUGGUUUCGUUCAGGAACUUGGAGUUUUUAUUUAUGAUCUUUUCAGAGGAAAAACAGAUAUUUUAUUGGUAUAAUGAUGAAUGUUGCUAUUAUUCAUAACCGAUGUUCUUAUAAGAUGAAGUUUUAAUUCAUAGGUUAUUGCUGCUGGCAAACUGUUCUUCAUCGAAUUUACUGUCAUUUGGAAGGGGGAUGAUUUGAAAGAGAAUAAGUUUGGUGGAAGCAUUUCUCAUUUAAGGGAUUGGAGCGUACCAUGCUUAGAACCUUGGCCCCUUGUUUUUAACCCAGUACUAGCAUUAUUUUGAUAUAAGGAUGCAUUUGGAUUGAGGAAUUUGAAAUCCAAUAUUUAUUUGAAUUUUUUAAACCUCAAAUAACUAUGAAACGUGACUGUGAUAUCAUAGUAAUUCAUGGCAAAGUACCUUUAAGAUGGAUUAUUGACUGGAUCAAGUUGGAUGGAAAUAUCAUCGAUGAUGGAUGGAUUCGGAAUAUAAUUUUCACCAUGUGGUCUUCUUCA
rnacentral:misc_RNA from 1 species